UAAAUAUAAGAAUUUUCAAUCAAUGGAAGAUUUAAGGAUUCACAGAAUAGUAACUUAAGAUUUGUACUGGAUCUGAAGGAUCAUCUAACCCAAAUCUUCUCAUUUUACUAAGGUGAAAGUGAGGUCUAAAGCUUCACUGACACUUGUAUAAGGUCACAGUACAAAUGACCCAGGAAGAAAAUAAAAUCUUCUGUUCUCACUUUUAGGGCUUUUUUCCUGAGUCAUGUUUAGUCAAUGGAAUAAUUCAUUGGACCACUUGGGAGUCAGGUACCACAACUAAUGUGACCAGAACUACAUCAGUGCUCAAGAAGGACUCAGCCAUCUAAUCAUUGUAUCCUGUCUCUGUAAAUAAUCUACCCUAGAGAACUUUCAAGCAAAGGGUUGCCACCAUCUUAUUGUAUCAGCAAAUCCCCUACAAGCAUUAAUCGGCCUGGCAUCUUAGCUGGUUUAAUGUUUCUCCAGAGGUUUUUUUUUUCUUCCUCCACUGGUAUUUUCUUCUACAAGAUGAAUCAAGCAAAGAAAACAUCUCUACUUGGAACAAAUAUUUCAGAAAAGGCAUAUGGAUCAAUAACACUAUCACUCCAGGUCCAAAUCAUCAAUUGUCUAUUCGACAUUUCAAACUGGAUAUCACAGAAAAAAUUUUAAAACAUGUUUAAAAUCCAAACUCAUUAUCUCUCCCACCAAUCCCUCCCCUUCAAACUUCCCUAUUUCUGUUUCAAUGAACUUUACUGUCUUUUCAGUAUUUUAGGCUUCUAAUCUCAGCAUUAUUCUGUACUCAUUACUCUCACCUUACAUUUCCAAUCAGUAGUCAAAUCUUGCUAUUUCUACCUUUAUAACAAUUUGACCCUUUCUUUUCAUUCACAUAGCUACUGCCUAGGUAAAGACCUCAUCCAAUCUCUCCUAGCUUCUUGCAAAC
rnacentral:lncRNA from 1 species